rnacentral:misc_RNA from 1 species
GACCCUAAUUGCAAUUUAUCAGCAAGUUCUUCAAUGUCAAAAGCAGCGAACUUUUCUGAUAUUUUCGGCUGUGGAUCACUUUCACCGUAGCCAGGUCGAUCAAAAGACAGCAAGUAGACUCCUAACUCUUCAAGCAAUUCCGGAGUUACGGGCAGAACAUGAUAUUUGCAAGUCGAAAAACCGUGAAUGAAAAUGAUUUUGUAGUUCGCCUUUUCCUUUGGAACACCUGAUUCUAAGUAAGAAAUGUGCCUUCCAUCGUUGAGCUUAAUUCUGGGUGAUGUCACAGGAGGGCCGUCUAGGGAUCCGCAAAUUCUAGGAGGUGGAGGUUUAAUUGCUUGAUAAACACAUGCCACUAGGGCCACCAUUAAAAACACUGAUAAUGUUUUCAACAUACCUGGCAUGCCCUCAAAGGUGGGAGGGGAUGAGGACUGGAGGGCUU